rnacentral:rRNA from 1 species
UGGGGAAUUUUGGACAAUGGACGCAAGUCUGAUCCAGCCAUGCCGCGUGCGGGAAGAAGGCCUUCGGGUUGUAAACCGCUUUUGUCAGGGAAGAAAUCUUCUGGGCUAAUACCCUGGGAGGAUGACGGUACCUGAAGAAUAAGCACCGGCUAACUACGUGCCAGCAGCCGCGGUAAUACGUAGGGUGCAAGCGUUAAUCGGAAUUACUGGGCGUAAAGCGUGCGCAGGCGGUUAUGCAAGACAGGUGUGAAAUCCCCGAGCUCAACUUGGGAACUGCACUUGUGACUGCAUAGCUAGAGUACGGUAGAGGGGAGUGGAAUUCCGCGUGUAGCAGUGAAAUGCGUAGAUAUGCGGAGGAACACCGAUGGCGAAGGCAGCUCCCUGGACCUGUACUGACGCUCAUGCACGAAAGCGUGGGGAGCAAACA